rnacentral:rRNA from 1 species
ACCGAGUGAGGGCCCUUUGGGUCCAACCUCCCACCCGUGUUUAUUUACCUCGUUGCUUCGGCGGGCCCGCCUUAACUGGCCGCCGGGGGGCUCACGCCCCCGGGCCCGCGCCCGCCGAAGACACCCCCGAACUCUGCCUGAAGAUUGUCGUCUGAGUGAAAAUAUAAAUUAUUUAAAACUUUCAACAACGGAUCUCUUGGUUCCGGCAUCGAUGAAGAACGCAGCGAAAUGCGAUACGUAAUGUGAAUUGCAAAUUCAGUGAAUCAUCGAGUCUUUGAACGCACAUUGCGCCCCCUGGUAUUCCGGGGGGCAUGCCUGUCCGAGCGUCAUUGCUGCCCUCAAGCCCGGCUUGUGUGUUGGGCCCCGUCCUCCGAUUCCGGGGGACGGGCCCGAAAGGCAGCGGCGGCACCGCGUCCGGUCCUCGAGCGUAUGGGGCUUUGUCACCCGCUCUGUAGGCCCGGCCGGCGCUUGCCGAUCAACCCAAAUUUUUAUCCAGGUUGACCUCGGAUCAGGUAGGGAUACCCGCUGAACUUAAGCAUAUCAAUAAGCGGAGGA